AAAAAAAAAAAAAAAACAAAUCUCGAUUAAAGGGGGGGACGUGGUGAUUGGAUCCACUCUACACAAAGAUAAGGUUGAAAUCAUCAUUAUCAAAAGUUUGUUUUGGAUCGAUGGAACUAAAUAGACAAGGAGUUUCAAGUGGCUUCGAGGAGACGUCGUGAGUGGUAUUUCGAUUGUCUUUCGGGUUUGAAG